rnacentral:tRNA from 1 species
GGGAUUAUAGUUAAUUAUAACAUUUAAUUUGCACUUAAAAGGUAUUGAAAUCAAUUUUUCUCA